GGGGGACCAACCCACCUGGUUUGCCUGGAACUGAGGGGUUUCCCAGGAGACUGUCAGUGCUAAAUACGGGACAGACCUGGG
rnacentral:miRNA from 1 species